AUUGAACGCUGGCGGCAGGCCUAACACAUGCAAGUCGAGCGAGUGGCGGACGGGUGAGUAAUGUAUGGGGAACUGCCCGAUGGAGGGGGAUAACUACUGGAAACGGUGGCUAAUACCGCAUACUAUCGGAUGAACCCAGAUGGGAUUAGCUAGUUGGUGGGGUAACGGCUCACCAAGGCGACGAUCCCUAGCUGGUCUGAGAGGAUGACCAUCCACACUGGGACUGAGACACGGUCCAGACUCCUACGGGAGGCAGCAGUGGGGAAUAUUGCACAAUUGGCGCAAGCCUGAUGCAGCCAUGCCGCGUGUAUGAAGAAGGCCUUAGGGUUGUAAAGUACUUUCAGCGGGGAGGCGUUACCCGCAGAAGAAGCACCGGCUAACUCCGUGCCAGCAGCCGCGGUAAUUC
rnacentral:rRNA from 1 species